GGAGUUUUUUGAAAAGCUAUCAAGUUAUUCUGUGCUUCAUCUUUAAGAAGAAAGGAUUGCUGAAUUCUUGCGAAGCAGUCUUGACAUAGUAGCUGAUUGGAAAGAUCCAUAAUGGAUCUUGUGUACACUAUUAUUGGAGGACAUCCACAUGGUUGUUUUGUUGAGAUCAUACUGGCAUCAGAUCAUCAUCUACUUGAAGGUAUAAUUCUUACCUGAAUAUCAUGCAUG
rnacentral:lncRNA from 1 species